rnacentral:tRNA from 1 species
UAGAAGUAUAUAUAAAAUGAGCUUCUAACUCAUUAUAUAGUGAUUAAUAUCAUUAAUAUUUCU